rnacentral:lncRNA from 1 species
UAGGUCAGAAGGGCGGGAGAUAGGGAGGCGCCGGGCCAGUCGGACUUGUCAUUCUCUUUAUCUUUAUGGCCAAGCAGCCUCAGGAAUGUCUUAACUAUGGGCCUUCCCGGGGAUGUCCUAGCCUGUUCUGCUAUGUUCUCAGCCCCAGGUUUCAAAGCUCACAAACAACUCUUUGGGCUAUUUGACAUAAAUUACAUGAAUCACAGGUCUCAAGUUUUAUAUUCUUUCAACACUACCUGGAUUGUGGUAUGAUAACCACAGAGAAACACCACUGCAUUGCCUUGCCUGCUGCCAGGGCUUGGCCUAAAUUGUGGACAGAGGAUACCCAGAGAGUUAAAUGUCCCAUAUUGCCUAUGACAAGGUGAGUCAUUUCUCCCAUAUUCUUACUCCACAGGAAAAAGCUUUUCAUUUUCUGGGCCUGACAGCUAGGCUGACUCUAUCCAAGUUGUGAUGGAGAGAACAGGGACUGUUUAGAUAGUGGACUAUAAACUAACUUCUGUAAUUUUAAUUAAUAUAUGACAUCUAGAUUAUAAUUUAUUCUUCACAGAUUUCUGUUUAUAUUGACAGCUAAGCUAACUAUAGCUUGACGGCUAGAGAAGAUACCUCUAGCUCCUUAUCCCAAGGUAAUACAUCACCUUAUUAGCUCAAUAGUCAAUUUAUUAACUAGCUAAGACUGCCAGAUCUCUUAUAAAAAAGACAGACAGGUUUGCCUUACUCACAGGCUUCACGAUAAAGGAUACACAAAUUCAGAUGUAACCUUUCACAGAUGUAACUGUCUGCUACUUCCUUAUCUAAACUCACUUUCCAGUGACUAAAUGCUUCAGACUUUCUCCUCUUAUUGUACCACUGUCCUAAUAGUAACCAAAAUAGUUCUUAUAAAUUAGCCUAGCUUUAAUAAAACAUUCCACUAUAUGAUCCACGUUUUAUAAUCACAAGUUCAAAUUUUAAGUUUCCAUUAGUUAUCUUUUAACCACAGACUUAAGGUGUUCUCCUGCUAAACUAUGUGAUCAAUUAUCAUAUUUACAAGUUCAUCAGAUUUUCAAGUUUCCUGUUUUUUAUUGUAUACAUUUUAAUUGUAUACUUCAAAAUGCUUCUCACUAUGCUAAAUUUGUAUAUAUUCAGUCUCCUAGACAAAAAAAAAAAAAGAGUCCUUCUUGUUCCUUCUGCUCCACAAAAGGUUUUUGUCUUUCCUAAGCUCACCUUAAAGACUGUUCAUGCUGUUACCAACUUCAUCUCUCUUAUAAACCUAUAAACUCCAAGAAAUGCACUUAGAUCUACCAAACAGACUCCCUCUGGAUAAGUGCACCUGCCAAUCAAUAGCCUAAGUCUCUACCUGAUGUGAGGGUGGAAUUCCUCUCCUGUUCCCUGGGAUUGGGACUCCCCACACCCCAACCACCAAGACCUAAAGGUUUCAAAUGUACACCUAAGAAAAACAUAUAUGUCUGUUUUUUCAGCAUCUUGCCAAGUCCAGGUGUUUACUCAAAAUCUGCAUCCAGGACAGCUCCAGAGAAGCAACCCACAGAUGUUCUAGCCUACUCUUACAGACACGUCUUCUGAACCUGCUCCUUAUACUCACAGUGGAGCAUGAUGCUCAAGGAUGCAUUAUCGACCACCUGACUGCACCCCAAGCUGAGAACUAUGGACGAGACCAGUACAUGGUGCAGAAGAAGGAGGACAAACAUGGGCCAAAGGCCUCCACUAACAGUUUCCUAAUUAUGUAACUUGGGACAAUUCUUGUUAUUUCUGCAUCUCAGCUUCAUCACCAAAACACUGGAGGUAAAAAUCUCUGCCUUGCAAGGGCACUGUGAAGUCAAAACAGAUAAGGAGCAGAGAACCAUGCUGUGGGCAAUGUACAGAAGAGCAGAGAAAUAUCUGUCACAACAUAUAAGGAUCACAGUGGCUUGCAACUUAGUUGAGAGAUAAGGCAAGUAUAGGAAAGACUGAAGAAUUUGAGAGCCAUUUGUCACCAUCUCAAGGACAUAGAAGGAAGGUCUGUGCUAAGCCAAAACCAUUCUGAGUUGAAAUCUACAGAGUAUUUAGAGAGCCUAGGGUCAAGGGUGGUGCAGGACAUCUUUUAUCCUUGCCCCAAGCUGCCCCCAGGCAACAUUAGACUCCCCCAAAGGCUUCUCGUAUGUCCUCUUUUCCUGGGUUCUUUUAGCAGAGUAGGUUGAGCUGGAAGAUGAAGAAAGAAGCCGUGGCACUGAAGACAGCAAAUGGCCAUCAGCUGAGCCAUAGAAGCAGUGGAGAGAAAAGUAGAUCUAGCUUUGACAGCUGCAGAAGACGGACAUCUGUGGGAACUGCCGGUGGCCUCAAUAACGGCAGAGAUAGAGCUGUACACCCAGCAGCGGAACAGAGCAAUGGAGAAGCAACAGCAACAGGCAGCAGGGCCAAUGGAAAUCACUAUAAGAAGGCUUCAGCGACCCAGGGAUUGAAAAAGCUGCUGCAGCUGCCACCACUUUACCAGCCAAGACACCAUAGAGCAUGGAACUAUAAUGCCAGCUGCUAUCAAGAGAUGGAAAGUUCCAAUUUCCUAAGAACACUCCUCACCCCCAAGACAUAGGAUCUCUGACCCCAGAGCUACACAACACAGCCUGCUGUUCCCAUCUGUCUGUUGCUACCAUUUGUGUUGUCUAACACCAUAGAUCCUGAACUGAAGGGCCUCUUACUGCACUGCACGAUUUCUAUCCAGGAACCAAAAAAGGCCCCAGUCAUUUCAUUGGAAAGGGUGUAGGUAGGAUACUUUGAAGGAGGAGUAGGUUUGGAAAUAACUAAGUAGAGCUGUUGGAAACGAGUAGUGAUCAGAAAAAUAAAUGAUUUGGGCAGCACCAUCCUGGUACUUACAAAGCUAGGAUUUCAGGGCAAAUAGGAAUUCCAA